UUUGUAAACGUGAGUUGGCUAAAAUGGCGAGGGGGACCUCACGAGCCCCCCACUCUCAGCCUAAUGGCUCCUCGGAGCCCUGGUUUGAGCAAAAGGAGUGGAGACAAAGAGGGAGGGAGAAAGAAUAGAAAAAGAAGAUGGGGGAAAGGGGGCGAAAAAACAAAACAUCCUUAGAACACCAUGCUGAGUUUCAAUGGAUUCCAAUCUUCCUGCACAGGCUUCUCUGAGCAGCUCAGAGCCUAAUCCACAGGGCUCAGUGAAUGGCAGCCUGGGUAGAAUUGUCAGAGCCAGAGCAGGGUCUCCAGCCAAAGGCACCCUCCCUGCCCAAGCAGGAAGGAGGCAACCAUGUGACAGCUUAAGCUGGGAUGCGUGUGGGUUUUCAUUCAGCCCAGCCUGGCUGCCCCCUUUAUUUCCCUUUUAUGUUUUCCGUUUUCUCCUUCUUCCCCUUCCUCUAAGCAGAUGAAACUUGAACAUUCUGAAAGACUCCCUGGUGCACCCUCCCCAGCUGAUAAUCUCCUUUUCUAUCAGACUCUCUCCCUCAGACCUGCUGUGCCUGCCAGAUCGAUAAUGUAUUUGCUGUGCUUUUUCCCAAGCCUCAGCCCUUUGGUGAAUAAACCUCAGCUCCUCCAGAGCCAGGGAAUGCACAUGGAUCAGUGGCAACAGGAAUCUGUUCCAAACCCUGGCAUUCUCACUUGCCCUCAGCCAUGGGCCAGCAGGGAAGAGUUCAGCCUCUCAGACAGCCCACUGGUGGCCCCCGUCCCUCAUCCUGGCACUCGGCUCUCCCCACCUUCAAAAAACAGACCUGCUUUGCUUUCCCUGCAUAUGAGACAAUCUAGUGUGUAGAAUCAUAAGCAACAAACAGCAUGAUCACAAGCAUUCCUCAGCUCCAUAGCAACAUUCUCCGUCGAAGGAAAAGGACAAGACAAGAAAAAUACUAAAUCCUGGACAUAUCCCAAAUUAGUCAUAAAGAGUUCAAUGAUUAGAAGCCACCCAAGUCUAAUCCCAGAGUGAAGUGAUUCAGGCUAAGAAAGUACAACUAAGAGUUCAAUAAACAAAAUGACCAUAACCUAAAAGACA
rnacentral:lncRNA from 1 species